rnacentral:rRNA from 1 species
GAUGAACGCUAGCUACAGGCUUAACACAUGCAAGUCGAGGGGCAGCACAGUGUAGCAAUACACGGGUGGCGACCGGCGCACGGGUGCGUAACGCGUAUCCAACCUUCCCGUUACUCUUGGAUAGCCUUCCGAAAGGGAGAUUAAUACAAGAUGGUAUUCAAAUUCCGCAUGUUAUUUGAAUUAAAGAUUUAUCGGUAACGGAUGGGGAUGCGUGACAUUAGAUAGUAGGCGGGGUAACGGCCCACCUAGUCUACGAUGUCUAGGGGUUCUGAGAGGAAGGUCCCCCACACUGGAACUGAGACACGGUCCAGACUCCUACGGGAGGCAGCAGUGAGGAAUAUUGGUCAAUGGUCGGAAGACUGAACCAGCCAAGUAGCGUGAAGGAUGAAGGUUCUAUGGAUUGUAAACUUCUUUUAUACGGGAAUAACACCAUCUACGUGUAGAUGUCUGCAUGUACCGUAUGAAUAAGCAUCGGCUAACUCCGUG